UACGGGGGGGGCAAGCGUUGUUCGGAAUUACUGGGCGUAAAGGGCUCGUAGGUGGCCAACUAAGUCAGACGUGAAAUCCCUCGGCUUAACCGGGGAACUGCGUCUGAUACUGGAUGGCUAGAGAUUGGGAGAGGGAUGCGGAAUUCCAGGUGUAGCGGUGAAAUGCGUAGAUAUCAGGAGGAACACCGGUGGCGAAGGCGGGUCUCUGGGCCGAUACUGACGCUGAGGAGCGAAAGCGUGGGGAGCGAACAGG
rnacentral:rRNA from 1 species